rnacentral:lncRNA from 1 species
AACUAAACUACAGAGGGGGAAAGUUAAGACACCUUAUUUGAUUGGUUACACUAGAGAUAAGUGUUUCUGGAAGGAGAAUACAUAAUUGAUUUAGAAAUGCUUUGCUGUAGCAAGCAGCCUCACUUUUAUGCAAUUUUAGAAAUAGGGUGGGGAAAGAAAAUGCAGUCAUCCAUCAGUCACUUAGUCAUUGAACCUUUUAUAUUGUACCUGGACAUUGGAUUCCAGAAACAGCAAAUGUUUUGUGUAUUUGUUACAAGGAAUCUCACUCUGGUAAAACAAGUUACAUUGAUUCAGUCCUAGUUUUAAAAAGGCAGAACUUCAGAGUUGUUGAUAUUUUAUCACAGGACAUGAAGUUUAAGACAUAGCAUUCUGUGCUGAAACCUGAAGGGAAAUAUAAGAAAUAAAGAGUUCCAGUUUUGAUGUUCAAGUAGAUUCAGUAUGGCAUAUAUGAUAAAAGUGUUUGAGUCAAAUGUGGCUUUCUAAAAUGGAUGCAAGUAUGUUAAAAAGUCAACACUAUGUUUCUUAUAAUCUGAAUGUUAAAUUGAGAGAACAGUUUUCUUAAAUAUGAAAAUAUUUAGAAUUUUUAGGGCAUUUUUAGUAAGUAUGACUCUUCAAGUCUUACUUGCUCUAAUGUUUAAAGGUGCAAUUUUAUGCCAUUAUUGAAAAUUUUGAUUUUUAAAAUCUAUAUACCAUAUUCUUAACAUAAAUUUUCAAUGAGGUGGUAUUUAUGCAGUAUUUAACAGAACAAUAUGCUGCCAAUAGAGUUUGGAGGUGGGUAUUCAGUUUACAGUGUAUAAAUUUAAAAUAUGCAUCCCUUAACAACGCUUUGUGUUAGCAUGCUGCAAAUCAAAAUGGCGCUUAAUAUUAAAACCUGGUGUAGGGAAUUUUAAUGAAAAUCCUGUUCAUAAAUGUAAUGCAUAUGAUGUGUACUUUUAAGUUCUAGUCCCCAAAUUUAGUUUAUAUUCAGCUGUUCAGCAUAACUAAUGUGUAAUUUUCCUUCACGCUAUAUUGUGGCUUUGUGUUUUAAGUAAUAUUCUCCUUUCUGUUUUUGCACCAGAUAAGAAUCUGUUACUUGAAAACAAAUUUUUUUAUCUUUCUUAACUUCAGAAUACUAAAUUUGGAAAAUCUACUAAACUUGUGUGUUAUGUGGCUGUAAAUGAUGUACACGCUGUAAAAUAAGAUUGUUACUGUUACGUGGACUUAUUAUUUCUAAAUGUUACUCAUUGAAAUGAGCAUACAAUAAAAAGCAUUUAUUGC